UCCCUCGUGAGAGGGCAGUCUCGCCUGACAUGUAAAACAGGCAACGCGGGUUGCGUUCGUUACCCCACUGAAGGGAACAACUCAAGCCACGAACUGACGACGACCAUGCAUCACCUGCCCAGCCGCCUUGCGGAAGACUAGUUUCCUAGCCGGUCGUCUGGGUGCAAACCCUGGUGAGGUUCUUCGUUUGCCAUCGAAUUGAGCCGCAUGAUCCACCGCUUGUGCAAGUCCCCGUCUAUUCCUUUGAGUUUUAAUCUUGCGAUCGUACUACCCAGGCGCAUAACUUAACGCGUUAGCUUCGCCUCGCAGAGGGUCGAUACUCCGCAAAGCCAGUUAUGAUCGUUUAGGGCGUGGACUA
rnacentral:misc_RNA from 1 species